rnacentral:rRNA from 1 species
GUCUAAGUAUAAGCAAUCUAUACGGUGAAACUGCGAAUGGCUCAUUAAAUCAGUUAUCGUUUAUUUGAUAGUACCUUACUACUUGGAUAACCGUGGUAAUUCUAGAGCUAAUACAUGCUAAAAACCUCGACUUCGGAAGGGGUGUAUUUAUUAGAUAAAAAACCAAUGCCCUUCGGGGCUCCUUGGUGAUUCAUAAUAACUUAACGAAUCGCAUGGCCUUGUGCCGGCGAUGGUUCAUUCAAAUUUCUGCCCUAUCAACUUUCGAUGGUAGGAUAGUGGCCUACCAUGGUUUCAACGGGUAACGGGGAAUUAGGGUUCUAUUCCGGAGAGGGAGCCUGAGAAACGGCUACCACAUCCAAGGAAGGCAGCAGGCGCGCAAAUUACCCAAUCCCGACACGGGGAGGUAGUGACAAUAAAUACUGAUACAGGGCUCUUUUGGGUCUUGUAAUUGGAAUGAGUACAAUUUAAAUCCCUUAACGAGGAACAAUUGGAGGGCAAGUCUGGUGCCAGCAGCCGCGGUAAUUCCAGCUCCAAUAGCGUAUAUUAAAGUUGUUGCAGUUAAAAAGCUCGUAGUUGAACCUUGGGCCUGGUUGGUCGGUCCGCCUCACCGCGUGCACUGAUCCGACCGGGUCUUUCCUUCUGGGGAGCCGCAUGCCCUUCACUGGGUGUGUCGGGGAACCAGGACUUUUACUUUGAAAAAAUUAGAGUGUUCAAAGCAGGCCUAUGCUCGAAUACAUUAGCAUGGAAUAAUAGAAUAGGACGUGUGGUUCUAUUUUGUUGGUUUCUAGGACCGCCGUAAUGAUUAAUAGGGAUAGUCGGGGGCAUCAGUAUUCCGUUGUCAGAGGUGAAAUUCUUGGAUUUACGGAAGACUAACUACUGCGAAAGCAUUUGCCAAGGAUGUUUUCAUUAAUCAGUGAACGAAAGUUAGGGGAUCGGAAGACGAUCAGAUACCGUCGUAGUCUUAACCAUAAACUAUGCCGACUAGGGAUCGGGCGAUGUUAUCUU